rnacentral:rRNA from 1 species
UACGGAGGGUGCAAGCGUUAUCCGGAUUCACUGGGUUUAAAGGGUGCGUAGGCGGGUUGGUAAGUCCGUGGUGAAAUCUCCGAGCUUAACUCGGAAACUGCCGUGGAUACUAUCAAUCUUGAAUAUCGUGGAGGUAAGCGGAAUAUGUCAUGUAGCGGUGAAAUGCUUAGAGAUGACAUAGAACACCAAUUGCGUAGGCAGCUUACUACACGAUCAUUGACGCUGAGCACGAAAGCGUGGGGAGCAAACAGG